GAUGAACGCUGGCGGCGUGCCUAAUACAUGCAAGUCGAGCGAACGGACGAGAAGCUUGCUUCUCUGAUGUUAGCGGCGGACGGGUGAGUAACACGUGGAUAACCUACCUAUGAGACUGGGAUAACUUCGGGAAACCGGAGCUAAUACCGGAUAAUAUUUUGAACCGCAUGGUUCAAAAGUGAAAGACGGUCUUGCUGUCACUUAUAGAUGGAUCCGCGCUGCAUUAGCUAGUUGGUAAGGUAACGGCUUACCAAGGCAACGAUGCAUAGCCGACCUGAGAGGGUGAUCGGCCACACUGGAACUGAGACACGGUCCAGACUCCUACGGGAGGCAGCAGUAGGGAAUCUUCCGCAAUGGGCGAAAGCCUGACGGAGCAACGCCGCGUGAGUGAUGAAGGUCUUCGGAUCGUAAAACUCUGUUAUUAGGGAAGAACAUAUGUGUAAGUAACUGUGCACAUCUUGACGGUACCUAAUCAGAAAGCCACGGCUAACUACGUGCCAGCAGCCGCGGUAAUACGUAGGUGGCAAGCGUUAUCCGGAAUUAUUGGGCGUAAAGCGCGCGUAGGCGGUUUUUUAAGUCUGAUGUGAAAGCCCACGGCUCAACCGUGGAGGGUCAUUGGAAACUGGAAAACUUGAGUGCAGAAGAGGAAAGUGGAAUUCCAUGUGUAGCGGUGAAAUGCGCAGAGAUAUGGAGGAACACCAGCGGCGAAGGCGACUUUCUGGUCUGUAACUGACGCUGAUGUGCGAAAGCGUGGGGAUCAAACAGGAUUAGAUACCCUGGUAGUCCACGCCGUAAACGAUGAGUGCUAAGUGUUAGGGGGUUUCCGCCCCUUAGUGCUGCAGCUAACGCAUUAAGCACUCCGCCUGGGGAGUACGACCGCAAGGUUGAAACUCAAAGGAAUUGACGGGGACCCGCACAAGCGGUGGAGCAUGUGGUUUAAUUCGAAGCAACGCGAAGAACCUUACCAAAUCUUGACAUCCUUUGACAACUCUAGAGAUAGAGCCUUCCCCUUCGGGGGACAAAGUGACAGGUGGUGCAUGGUUGUCGUCAGCUCGUGUCGUGAGAUGUUGGGUUAAGUCCCGCAACGAGCGCAACCCUUAAGCUUAGUUGCCAUCAUUAAGUUGGGCACUCUAAGUUGACUGCCGGUGACAAACCGGAGGAAGGUGGGGAUGACGUCAAAUCAUCAUGCCCCUUAUGAUUUGGGCUACACACGUGCUACAAUGGACAAUACAAAGGGCAGCGAAACCGCGAGGUCAAGCAAAUCCCAUAAAGUUGUUCUCAGUUCGGAUUGUAGUCUGCAACUCGACUACAUGAAGCUGGAAUCGCUAGUAAUCGUAGAUCAGCAUGCUACGGUGAAUACGUUCCCGGGUCU
rnacentral:rRNA from 1 species